CAACCUUAUGCAAAAACCACCUGUAAAUCAGUUAUGAGACAAGAAGGAGUUUGGAGCAAGGAUCUUCACUUCUUCUUGAACCAGUCGGUCAGCAUGUCCACUGGACCGGCCUGAUUCAAGGCGAACUGCUUGUGUUAGCUUUAGAGAACUGAGACAGGUAUGUCCCAGCCUCUGUUAGCCUGUGCCCUCUGCUGAAGGAGAGGCCCUGAGAAUCCUAAAAGGCAGCCUUCCAGUGAUGCCCAGAGCUGGUGGGAGACCAGACCUGAAGAGGACAGAGCUGCCGACCCUCCAGUGAAGCCCAGCCUCCGGUCUCUAAUCUGGGAAAGAAAGGACCUGUGAGUGGACCCCGCUGACCUCCCCGCACCCACACAACCUAGGUCAGCGUGAUGAUGCUCGGCGUUCCGUGUACCUGUCGCGCAGGUGGCCGCAGCGCAGCCCCAUGUCGGUGCACUCCGCCUCGCUCACCGACACCCCCUUGCAGGACUUGAUCGGGUAGAUCCAGAGCUGUGCCACCGUUCCCACCUGCUGCAGCCGCCCGCGCCGCCGGGGACGCACGCGACGCCAGGCCACCGUCCCCAGCGCCACUGCGGCCAGUCCCAGCGCGGCGACACCGAACCAGGUGGACCGCGGAUGCCCGGGGACCCGGGACGCGGAGAAGCCGAGGAGGGCCAGCGCCCAGGAGCCGGCUUCCAUGGCUGGAGCGGGCGGGACGAGCGCUGAUCCACCUCCGGCGCCGGCCGGACCACGAGCUACUGUGACCCGAGGCCUGGACCUGGGCCUGAGCCCAAAGGCCAGCAGCUCCUGACCCUUCCCCUCCAAUCCAAGUUGAGCAUCUUCACUCGGCCUGGGCGGGAGGUGGUGGCUCAGCUGUCACGAUUCUCACCCUUUGUCCCUACUUUUCCCCGCUGCCUUCCCCUCCUUCGUUCCCCCCUCCCUAGCUGACCAUCAGUGCAGAACUGCUUAUUUACAAGUUUGCGUUGUUUAUUUGGCCUAAAACACACAACGUUUGCAGAAUGCGGCGUGGUUUUGAAAUUGGAAACCAGGCUGCGGGCAGCCGCCCGUCUGGGGACUGUGGAGAGUAGUUUGGCAGCAGCCAGGGAGCUUCUAGCCAGCAGCAAUCUGAAGUGAAAAGAUCUGACCGGGCUCCGAGGAUCUCCAGGGCCAAUCCUGGGCUGCUGCUAUCCGCAGAGGCUCAGACCUGGACUAGUAUUUUAGACAAGCCCCCACCCACCCACUCACUCCUCUCUCCCCUGCGCCCUAAUGUGGACUGGCACUGCCAGGGGUCUCUUCCAAAUGCUACAACAUCUUGAACACAAAGACAAGCCAACAAAGUGCCUUGGGUGCCUGUUUGAUGUGUCAACCUGUAAAAAUGACGGUCUUUAUUCUAACGAGGAGAACGGCAUUUCUCUCCUAAGAUAAGGAAGAGAGAUUGGACUUUGUACUACAACGUGAGCUGGGAAGGGGCAGAGGGGGGAGGGGUGAACACGGCUGCACCAGCCAAGGCAGAAAUAAAGAUUUCUCUGAAGA